UACAGAGGGUGCGAGCGUUAAUCGGAAUUACUGGGCGUAAAGCGCACGUAGGUGGCGACGUAAGUCGGGUGUGAAAGCCCCGGGCUCAACCUGGGAAUUGCAUUCGAGACCGCAUUGCUGGAGUACGGAAGAGGAAGGCGGAAUUCCCGGUGUAGCGGUGAAAUGCGUAGAUAUCGGGAGGAACAUCAGUGGCGAAGGCGGCCUUCUGGUCCAGUACUGACACUCAAGUGCGAAAGCGUGGGGAGCAAACAGG
rnacentral:rRNA from 1 species